rnacentral:rRNA from 1 species
UACGAAAGGUGCAAGCGUUACUCGGAAUCACUGGGCGUAAAGCGCACGUAGGCGGACUUACAGGUCAAUUGUGAAAUACCUGGGCUCAACCCAGGAACUGCAGUUGAAACCGUUUGUCUUGAAUACUUGAGAGGGUGGGGGAAUACCUGGUGGAGAAGUGAAAUUCGUAGAGAUCAGGUGGAGCACCGGAGGCGAAGGCGCCUGCCUGGCAAUGUAUUGACGCUGAGGUGCGAAAGUGCGGGGAGCAAACAGG